UAUCUAAGGUGUGCCCUGCCCGGUGAUUAUUUUUAACGGCCGCAGUACUCUGACUGUGCUAAGGUAGCAUAAUAAUUUGUCUUUUAAUUAAAGACUGGAAUGAAUGGGUGAUUAAUUGAAGUCUAUCUUAAAUAUGGUAGUUUGAAGUUACUAAAAAGGUGAAAAUUCCUUUUUAUAAAUAUAAGACGAGAAGACCCUUAGAGUUUAUAAUUAAUUUUGUUGGGGCGACAGGAAAGCAGAAAACCUUUCUACAUUAUAGCUUAUAUAUCAUAAUAAAGUAAUAAAUAAACUACCUAAGGGAUAACAGCAUAAUUUUAAAAAAGAUUAUGACCUCGAUGUUGGAUUAAGGACUUAUAUAGCUAACAGCUUAAUAAGAUUGUUCUGUUCGAACA
rnacentral:rRNA from 1 species